CAGCCGCCGCGGUAAUACCGGCGGCCCGAGUGGCGGUCACUAUUAUUGGGCUUAAAGCGUCCGUAGCCGGGUUGGGAAGUCCUCCGGGAAAUCUGGCCGCUUAACGGUCAGAAUGCCGGAGGAUACUCCCAGCCUAGGGAGCGGGAGAGGCCGAGGGGAUUCCCGGGGUAGGGGGGAAAUCCUGUAAUCCCGGGAGGACGACCUGUGGCGAAGGCGCUCGGCUGGAACGCGUCCGACGGUGAGGGACGAAGGCCAGGGGAGCGAACCGGAUUAGAUACCCGGGUAGUCCUGGCUGUAAACGAUGCGGACUUUGUGUCGGACAAGCUAUGAGCUUGUCCGGUGCCGGAGGGAAACCGUUAAGUCCGCCGCCUGGGGAGUACGGCCGCAAGGCUGAAACUUAAAGGAAUUGGCGGG
rnacentral:rRNA from 1 species